rnacentral:tRNA from 1 species
UCCCUGGCAGUCCAGUGGCUAGAACGUGGCAUUCUCAAUGCAGGGGGCCCAGGUUCCAUCCCUGGUCAGGGAA